rnacentral:lncRNA from 1 species
UGUGAUUCGCCAAAGAUUUGUACUUUUUGUAGCGUUUCUAGAAAAUGGAUUUUCAUUACGAUUACGAAACUGAAAUUUUUGAAAUGCAACAUCCAAAUAUGUAUUCCUAUUCACAAACGACCCAUCUGUAUAAACAUGCACGGCAAUAAGAUACCUGAUUUCAUCUUUAUUUCUUAUGCAGGAUUGCCUUGACUCUUUCCAAGACAAUUGUCAAGGUGAGGUGGUGGUCGCCUCAGCCAUUAAUGAAUUAAUGCCUAAACUUUUGCAACGGUCAUUAACGGGAAGCAUUGCAUAUCAGCCUACUUGUACGUCUUUAAUUUCAAAAUUGUGUUUGUAUCAACCAGGAAGUAAAACUAUACAGGUUCAAAGGACCGGAACAAACAAUGUGUUAUGACCUAUUAGAAAAGUUACUGCAAAAAUGGUUUAGAAAAACCAGCUGGAAACCGGAUAAAAAUCUUCAACCCUGACAAAGAAAAUUAGUUGUAACUUCAAUCGAGUAACAUGAUUCCUCUUAUUUACAUUUUAUG